GUACCAAGGCCAAUUUACACUGCUAAAAAAGGAUAAAUUAGAGAGCAAUUGUCUGUGGCCACCACCUGCAAAACCAUUCCCUUUAUGGGGAUUGUCUUGCUGUUGCCUCUCCAGUAAACCCAUUUUAAUUUGCACCAAAACAGGUGACAUUGAUUAACAAUCGCUUAUGCAACUGGACAGGUUGAUAUCCCUGAAGUUUAAUUGAAUUGGCGUUAUACUGUGACGAUUACGUGUUCCCUUAUUUUUUUGAGCAGUGUGAUUUAUUUACUGAUUAAAUCUUUGCAAGUUUCUUUGUCAUUACGUAUCCUGUGGCAUUCACUUGGUGGACUUCCUGGUUCACUGUUAUGUAAAUACACCAGCCCUCUGAUACUCCCUAAUGGAAGAAAUGGCCUACAGUUUAGCAGCCCAACUUACGCACCAGGAUACCAGGACACACAAGGGUUUACUGCUGCCAGUCUUCAGGACUGAAUAAACAGAACCUUCACCAAACCCAACUCUUCUUUGGCACUACGCUUUGCUGAGUGCCUGGGCACUGCAAUUAGCUGUGUUGUAUUGGCAAUACAGCUCCAGAAAAGAUUAAGAGACCACUGC
ensembl:lncRNA